rnacentral:rRNA from 1 species
UGGGGAAUCUUCGGCAAUGGACGAAAGUCUGACCGAGCAACGCCGCGUGAGUGAAGAAGGUUUUCGGAUCGUAAAACUCUGUUGUUAGAGAAGAACAAGGACGUUAGUAACUGAACGUCCCCUGACGGUAUCUAACCAGAAAGCCACGGCUAACUACGUGCCAGCAGCCGCGGUAAUACGUAGGUGGCAAGCGUUGUCCGGAUUUAUUGGGCGUAAAGCGAGCGCAGGCGGUUUGUUAAGUCAGAUGUGAAAUCCCCGGGCUCAACCUGGGAACUGCAACUGGUACUGGCCAGCUUGAGUCUCGGAGAGGGGGGUAGAAUUCCAGGUGUAGCGGUGAAAUGCGUAGAGAUCUGGAGGAAUACCGGUGGCGAAGGCGGCCCCCUGGACGAAGACUGACGCUCAGGUGCGAAAGCGUGGGGAGCAAACAGG